UACGGAGGGAGCGUAGCGUUGUUCGGAUAUACUGGGCGUAAAGCGCACGUAGGCGGCGCAGCAAGUCAGGGGUGAAAUCCCGGAGCUCAACUCCGGAACUGCCUUUGAAACUGCAGUGCUAGAAUUCUGGAGAGGCGAGUGGAAUUCCGAGUGUAGAGGUGAAAUUCGUAGAUAUUCGGAAGAACACCAGUGGCGAAGGCGGCUCGCUGGACAGACAUUGACGCUGAGGUGCGAAAGCGUGGGGAGCAAACAGG
rnacentral:rRNA from 1 species